rnacentral:rRNA from 1 species
UACGUAGGGUGCGAGCGUUAAUCGGAAUUACUGGGCGUAAAGCGUGCGCAGGCGGUUCGUUAAGACAGAUGUGAAAUCCCCGGGCUUAACCUGGGAACUGCAUUUGUGACUGGCGAGCUAGAGUAUGGCAGAGGGGGGGUAGAAUUCCACGUGUAGCAGUGAAAUGCGUAGAGAUGUGGAGGAAUACCGAUGGCGAAGGCAGCCCCCUGGGCCAAUACUGACGCUCAUGCACGAAAGCGUGGG